CGAGGGAAAAAACCCCUCAAACCUAAGUUCUGGAACUGGGAAGUCCAAGAUCAGGGCUCCUGCCCCUGGACCUGAACCUGGAUCUUUGGCUUUGAUGUUGGACCUUGUGUGUGGAUAUGAACUCUGAACCUGCACCUUGGAACUAAACCUCUGACUUGGAUUUUUUCUGCAUUUUGGAACUCACCUUAGACCUGAACCUUGGUCAUGAAAUGGAUCUGAAUCAUUCUUGGGUCUUGGACAUGGGACUUGGACCUCCAUGUGUAUCUUGGACUUAGGACCAUGAUCUGGACCUUGUAAAUUGACUUGGACUUUGGACUUGGACCUUGGACUAGAAUUUGUCCAUGGCUGUGGACCUCGUCUUUGGAUCUGGAUCUGGACCUGGUCUUGGAUGUUGGACCUAGAUGCAGGCCUUGAUUUGAUUUGGAACAUGGACUUGGUCCUUGCACAUGGCCCAACACCCGCGUCUUUGGAACUGCAUCUUGGACCUUGGAUCUGAAAUUUAAACAGGGAGGUGACCUUCAUUUCUUGUAUUUGACUUUAUAAC
rnacentral:lncRNA from 1 species